ensembl:lncRNA
UCAUGAUCAUGAAUUAGUGAAAGGUCAUUUAAAUUUUAUAAUUAUUGGUUCUCCUUGGACUAUUCAAAUUUAGUGAUUAAACUAAUGGUUAGUUAUUUUGUGUGAUCAGGAAUGGUGGACGCUUAUGGGAACGAUAGCUUAUGGAACAGGAAAUGACUGCUGUGUGUGCAUUUGUGCUUGUGCUGAAGAGGCAUUUUUUGCUUUAUUAUUGACAACAGAAGAGGGGACAGUGAUGAGGUCAGUUACUGGCAGGGUUAAUGGGCCAGGUAACUGCCCUCUGGACUCCAAACACGUGGUUAUUGGUCAGACUCCUCUAAGGAUAUAAAUUGUGAAGACUUCAGUGUAGCUCUGUGUUCUGCACAACAACAACCACCUGGGAACUGCUGGAGGCUGUUCAGUUUUACAGAUAUAAUGAAGGGUACAUUCAGCGUGUCUGUCAGUCUGUUGCUGCUGUGUGUUUUGUGGGGUGACAGUCAGCCUGUACACACUGCUGCUCACACUGUCAGAGAGAUGAUAGAGCUCCUGAGAGCGAUGACUCCAGUCAAUGAGCAGGAGGAUCAGGACACAGAGCUGAUGGACUCUCCCGAGGUUCUGUGGCCUAAUACUGAGGAUCUGGAGAAAAGAGACCUGCCACGUCUAGGAGUAGCAAUACAUAGGGCUUUACCCUCAAGAGUCCACAGCAGUCAGAGCAUGCAUCUAGAUAUCGUUUGUCUUCUCCAGCUAAGUGGAUGUCCAGUCUCCAAGGUUGAAGAAUAGUAAUUGUUUGAUUCAUCUGUCUCAAAAAUGCUUGAAGGUUUACACACAACUCUCAUCCGCAUGAAGAACUCAUUGUUAGACAAUAAAUAAAAGGAGUUACAAAAUAUAUACA